rnacentral:rRNA from 1 species
CAGAGGUCUCAAGCGUUGUUCGGAUUCAUUGGGCGUAAAGGGUGCGUAGGCGGCGCGGUAAGUCGGGUGUGAAAUCUCGGAGCUUAACUCCGAAACUGCAUUCGAUACUGCCGUGCUUGAGGACUGGAGAGGAGACCGGAAUUUACGGUGUAGCGGUGAAAUGCGUAGAUAUCGUAAGGAAGACCAGUGGCGAAGGCGGGUCUCUGGACAGUUCCUGACGCUGAGGCACGAAGGUCAGGGGAGCAAACGGGAUUAGAUACCCCGGUAGUCCUGACAGUAAACGGUGCACGUUUGGUGUGGGAGGAUUCGACCCCUUCUGCGCCGGAGCUAACGCGUUAAACGCGCCGCCUGGGGAGUACGGUCGCAAGAUUA